rnacentral:rRNA from 1 species
GACGAACGCUGGCGGCGUGCUUAACACAUGCAAGUCGAACGGAAAGGCCCUGCUUUGGUGGGGUGCUCGAGUGGCGAACGGGUGAGUAACACGUGAGUAACCUGCCCUUGACUUUGGGAUAACUUAAGGAAACUGGGGCUAAUACCGGAUAGGAGCUCCUGCUGCAUGGUGGGGGUUGGAAAGUUUCGGCGGUUGGGGAUGGACUCGCGGCUUAUCAGCUUGUUGGUGGGGUAGUGGCUUACCAAGGCUUUGACGGGUAGCCGGCCUGAGAGGGGGACCGGCCACAUUGGGAUUGAGAUACGGCACAGCCUCCUACGGGAGGCAGCAGUGGGGAAUAUUGCACAAUGGGCGGAAGCCUGAUGCAGCAACGCCGCGUGCGGGAUGACGGCCUUCGGGUUGUAAACCGCUUUCGCCUGUGACGAAGCGUGAGUGACGGUAAUGGGUAAAGAAGCACCGGCUAACUACGUG